UGAGGAAUAUUGGUCAAUGGACGGAAGUCUGAACCAGCCAUCCCGCGUGAAGGAAGAAGGCGCUAUGCGUUGUAAACUUCUUUUCCGAGAGAAGAAAACCCCCGACGUGUCGGGGCUUGUCGGUAUCUUGGGAAUAAGCAUCGGCUAACUCCGUGCCAGCAGCCGCGGUAAUACGGAGGAUGCGAGCGUUAUCCGGAUUCAUUGGGUUUAAAGGGUGCGUAGGCGGACCGAUAAGUCAGUGGUGAAAACCUGCAGCUUAACUGUAGAACUGCCAUUGAUACUGUCGGACUUGAGUAUGGUCAAGGUAGGCGGAAUGUGUAAUGUAGCGGUGAAAUGCUUAGAUAUUACACAGAACACCGAUUGCGAAGGCAGCUUGCUGGGCCAUUACUGACGCUGAUGCACGAAAGCGUGGGGAGCAAACAGG
rnacentral:rRNA from 1 species